AAUCAACGCUGGCGGCGUGCCUAACACAUGCAAGUCGAACGCGAAAGCCCCGCAAGGGGUAAGUAGAGUGGCAAACGGGUGAGUAACACGUGGGUGACCUGCCUUCGAGUGGGGGAUAACGUCCCGAAAGGGACGCUAAUACCGCAUAACAUCCUGCCUUUUAAGAGGUGGACAUCAAAGCUGGGGACCGCAAGGCCUGGCGCUUGAAGAGGGGCCCGCGCCUGAUUAGCUAGUUGGUGGGGAAUGGCUCACCAAGGCGUCGAUCAGUAUCCGGCCUGAGAGGGCGGACGGACACACUGGGACUGAGAUACGGCCCAGACUCCUACGGGAGGCAGCAGUGGGGAAUCUUGCGCAAUGGGCGAAAGCCUGACGCAGCGACGCCGCGUGGGGGAUGACGGCCU
rnacentral:rRNA from 1 species